AAAAGUUAAGGUUUGUACCUUUUGUAUUAUGGUUCAAUAAGGUUAUAUGGAUAAAGUUUUAUAACCCGAAGCUGGGCGAGCUAAUGUAUUCUGCUUUGAGAGAGAGUACUUUUACUGUUGCAAUAGUAAGGUUUGAGUAUACAUUAGGUGUGAUAUGCUUAUCGUGCUCAGGGAUAGCUGGUUUUCCUGGAAAUAGGUGUGAGCUAAUAGAUAUAUAUUUAUCAUAAUAAAAUUAUUUUAGAGUAUAACAAGAUAAUUUUGAUAAUAGUGUAAUAGUAAGACAGAGAGGGAUAAGCUUCUUUGUCNAUGAAGAAAAAGCUUUAUUCUAUUAAUAAAGGAUAGUUCUAUCGAAAUGUGUUAGGUGUUGAUUCUAGAUUGUGGAAAUUUAUAGGAAAAUUUCAGAAUUUGAAAGUUAUAAUGUUGAAAUUAGUAGAGAAAAAGUAUAUAUCUUUUGUGUAUUAAUCAAUCCUUACAUUGGACGGAGCAAUUAAAAUUAAUAAUCGAGAAAUUAGUUUGUUUAAGUUGUCUGCUAACACAAGUGAUAAAAUAUGGGUUAAUAAAAGGGAAAGGAAUUCGGCAAAUAAAUAUUUCGCCUGUUUACCAAAAACAUCGCUCUUUGUAAAGAAUCUGAUAUAUAAAGAGUUCUGCCUGCCCAGUGACUUAGUUAAACGGCCGCGGUAUUUUGACCGUGCAAAGGUAGCAUAAUCAUUUGCCUUUUAAAUGGGGGCUAGUAUGAAUGGCAAGACGGAAAUUAAGCUGUCUCUCUCUUAAAUUUUGAAGUUAAUAUUUUUGUGAAGAAGCAAAAAUAAAAUCGCAGGACGAGAAGACCCUAUCGAGCUUUAGUAUAAAGAGGGUACAAUUAUUCUAAUAAGGUUUUAGCUAAUAGAUUAUUAUAAAUAAUCAUUGUAGUUUUACUAAUUAAGAUAAUAGUGUUGUGUACAUAGUAUUUAGGUUGGGGCAACUGCGGAGUAUAAAGAUCCUCCGCUAAUUUUGUUAAUAAAAAAAUAUUUUAAAAUAUAAAAUUUAUAUAAAAAAUGAUCCACCAUAAUGGGUGAGCAAAAGAAUAAGUUACCGUAGGGAUAACAGCGUAAUUUUCUUGGAGAGUUCAUAUUGAUAAGAAGGUUUGCGACCUCGAUGUUGGAUCGGGAUUUCCAGGAGAUAC
rnacentral:rRNA from 1 species